GAUUUGGAUUCAAGAGAUGUUGUCUUUCUGACGAUUGGCACCGAAGAGUAAAAGAACUGGCAAAGCUCAUGGAAUAAUGAAGUGGUGACACACAUCAUUCAAAGUCCAUCAAAACUCAGGAUGGCUGAAACCCUCUCAAAGUAGUGAGAAAGUUCAGGCUGGGGAAUGAACUGACUCAGUAACAUGCACCUAAUGCCAGACAAACCUGGAGAGAAGAUCAAGCUAAAAAUGAAAUCUGAGGAAAAGACAGAAAGAUCCAAAUGUAGUACAAGCCUCCCUAUUUUUGGCAAGUUUUCCACCACAGCACCCAAGGGGUUGAUCCGAGCCAGAAGAACACUUUGGCAAACAGAAGUCUUAAAUAGCAGACAUAUCUGUUGUGAAAUUUUGGCUGUUGAUAAGCCAGAGAGACCUGGUUAAGGACCAAGUAAUUUUAAUGUCUGCUGAAAGACAUAUAUUUCUGAGCUGGUUUGGGAU